GACGGGGGAUGCAAGUGUUAUCCGGAAUCACUGGGCGUAAAGCGUCUGCAGGUGGUUUCCUAAGUCCACUGUUAAACCUUGAGGCUCAACCUCAAAUCUGCAUUGGAAACUAGGAGACUUGAGUAUAGUAGGGGUAGAGGGAAUUUCCAGUGGAGCGGUGAAAUGCGCAGAUAUCAGGAGGAACACCGGUGGCGAAGGCGGUUCUCUGGGCCUGUACUGACGCUGAGGAACGAAAGCGUGGGGAGCGAACAGG
rnacentral:rRNA from 1 species